UGCCGGCCGGCGGGCGCCGCCGCGCGCGCAUCAUCGUGCGCGAGGAAGCCAUGCUGUGCGGUGUGCCGUGGUUCGAGGCCGUGAUCGGCCG
rnacentral:tRNA from 1 species